AUAAAUAAAUAAAAUCUUAAAAAAAAAAUGCCUCUCUUCCUCCGUCAUGCGCAGAGAAGUGGCUCUCCUCCACGCGACAUUUAAGGGCACAGGCCCCUUCACCUUGGGGCGCCAGCCCCCCUCAGGCCUUAUCAGGCGCCUGCAGCCAGCAGAAGGAAGCAAGCAGGAAAGACCGUGUGCGUCUUGGGGGCCCGGGCCUGGGAGCAGCAGGCCUGGCUUCUACUCACACUGCGCGCCUGGAGCUGUCGGGCCGCCUCGCAAGGGCCACUGAGAAAAGAGCUUAGGAAACAGGAAGCCAGUGAUGACGGCGAUGGCAGGAGUCCAGGAGAGGAGGGGCAAUGAGAGGCAUUACGGAGGAUGGGGAGCCUGGCUGGCUGGAGCAGGGAGCGGGAGACACUGGAUCUCAGGGUCGUGAGUUCGAGGCCCGCAUUGGGAGCGCCAGAUGUGGCUUUGGAAUCAGGGGAUCCAGUUCAAAUCCUGCCUCCCACCCAGCAUUCCAACUCUGGGAUUCAGAACAAGUCAUUUUCCCUUUCUUCAUUUGAAAAUCGGGCCAGCACUCAAAUGGGUGUAAGAGUGACACUCCAGCGCCGGCCAUAGAACUGGUGACUCGUUUCCAGUCUCCCCUUCUCAAGUUUCCAGUCUUCACACCUCCACCUGCAGCACCUGCCCAUCGAGACCCCCCCCACCGGACUCAGUACUUUGUGCAGGUGACGCCACACCUGUCGCCUUCUCCCAGCAUCCUCAUCGAUCCCCGCCUCCAGUGGCCGGAGCCCCACCUCGGUGGCUUCUGGUUCACUUUGGCAGCGCAAUCCUCCACCGGCUUCGAACAGCGUCCCAUCUUCCCAGAGGUCGCCCACCGCCCCCAGCAUUGCGCCCCACUCACAGCUCCGCCCCGCUUCCCGCUUGCCCCGCCCACUUCCGGCACGCCCACCGGGUGCUCUGGGCAUGCGCGGCUCAGGUCCCUGCCGGCGAGGACUAGAUCCUCCUGCUCCUUACUGGGUCAGCUUCUCGAGCUCGCAGGGGUCCCAGCAAAUAUGCCCCACUGGCCUAGGGAGACGUGGGCCAGAUUGCCAGGACUAUGCCCUCCGGACACGCCAUCGCCGACCUCGGCCAGGCCUUCUGCGGGCGUCCGCCUUUCCAGAACCUCCUUCUGUCCCGCUCUCGCCCCGCCCACGGCCGGCCUGGCCACCUCUUCAUGUUGGGCCAGUCUGGGCUCUCCCGCCUGGCCCGCCCAUCUUCCCGUCGCGUCCUGCCAGCAAAUCUUUUCCUCCUGGGGAAGUAUUCCUUCUAAAACUGACCCUCCCUUUGGCUGCUGGGUCAGAACUACUUCCAGCAAGAAAGAAUGAUACCCUAGAAUGGAUCUUGUUGCCAAUAAGUACGCCGGUCCCCAGUCCACAUUCCUCCACUUUGCCAAAAAGGUGAGAAGUGGCCUCCCAUUGGGGCUUCCCGCCCUGACCCAGGAUGAGAGCAGCUUCCUCAUGCCAGUUAACAAAUUUUCCUUCCACAGUCUAGCCACUUCUCAGUUUCUUUUUUCCUCCCCCCACAUUCUACUCGGGAUAUAAUUGACAUACCAUAAA